rnacentral:rRNA from 1 species
CCUACGGGAGGCAGCAGUGGGGAAUAUUGCACAAUGGGGGAAACCCUGAUGCAGCGACGCCGCGUGAGUGAAGAAGUAAUUCGUUAUGUAAAGCUCUAUCAGCAGGGAAGAAAAUGACGGUACCUGAGUAAGAAGCCCCGGCUAACUACGAGCCAGCAGCCGCGGUAAUACGGAGGGGGCAAGGGUUAUCCGGAUUUACUGGGUGUAAAGGGAUAGUAGGCGGCAGUGCAAGUCUGGAGUGAAAGGCGGGGGCUCAACCCCCGGACUGCUCUGGAAACUGGAAGGCUUGAGUGCAGGAGAGGUAAGGGGAAUUCCUGGUGUAGCGGUGAAAUGCGUAGAUAUUAGGAGGAACACCAGUGGCGAAGGCGGCUUACUGGACUGUAACUGACGUUGAGGCUCGAAAGCGUGGGGAGCAAACAGGAUUAGAUACCCGUGUAGUC